GGAAAGCUAACUACAAAGCCUCUAAAAGUUACGUAACAUGAAGAAACACACUCGAUUCUGCCUCUCCCAUUGAAUAGAGCAAUAAAACAUGGACACAACACACAAAGCAGCUAUUUGAGGACUCUGAGAAGGAAAUGGCAGCACACAGAUUGGGGGAGAAGACCAGAAUUUGAAAUGCUGCUGAACCACAGGAGAGUGAUACAAGAUGUGACCGUUGAAGAAUGCUGGAUGAAAGGCGA
rnacentral:lncRNA from 10 species